AUCUAUGUUACAUACAAAAAAAAUAUUUAAUUUUUAUACACUUUUACGAUUGAAGGAUAUAAAUAACUACAGUCACGGGCAAAAAUUGGCCUUUGCCCAUUAAUCAAGGCCGAAAGGCCUACAUUAGAUACUUCUUGGACUUGCUGGCCCAAAUCAAGUAGGGCAAAAUACAAAAAGCAAAUUUCAUUUAUAGCCAUCCGGAAAAAAUUAAUGGCAAUAACUAGCCACAAAACAACUCAUACAAUAAACAGUCCAAAACUAAUUAAAAGGCUAGCCUACUGCUCAAUACCCUAACAUCCAUCUCCCUCAGCGUUCAUACCAUUUUCCUCAGCCGAAAAAGUCGUUGCCGAACACCGCAUUGCAAGCGCCGCCUCCGUAUUGAACUACCAAUCAACGCCCUCCGUCGUCAUCCACUCCCGUCCAAUUGGGUCAGAAUUAGCAGAAGACGUCGGCUUCUCCAGAUUGUUAGAUUUUGCCUCCCUAUCUCUUCAUUCAUUCCAAGUAUCUUAAUUCAGUUGCCUUCCAGAAUGCGCACCGUCUUAAGAACUCGAAUUCAUCUUUGUUUCCAUUGUUGAGAAUUGAAUUUGAGGAGGGAACUUAGGACCCAUUCUUGAGCUUGAAGAAUCAGUAUUGGUGCUAAGAUUAGAAGGUGUUGACUAUUUGAAAUUGAUUGAAAUGUGAGAGUGAAAGUCAUCCUUCAAAUCUGAAAAUUGCACUUACAGUUCUCCUUGCAAGUGUUGUGUGAGUUGAAGUUGGAUUGUGCAAGAAUCUUUGCUUCUGAUUGAAAUUGAGCCCCAUUUCUGACUGUUUAGGCUUCCGAAAAUUGUAAUUUUGGAUAAUGAUAUAAGCUGCAAAUUGAAGUACCUCGCAAGUCUUUGCAUCUAUUUUUCAGCAGUCCUACAGAACUAUUUUUCAGCCAAUUUCCUACACUCUUGAACAGCUUUGUUCAGCUUUAAAAUAUGUUGAUCUCCUGCAUUUUUCGAGCAAUUUUUUUUAUACUUUUAUCUUGCUUUCUGGAAGAGAUUUCGAGUAGAAAAAUUUAGAUUUAACAUGGUAAAUAGCUACUAAAUUAGGCAAGUUUUUUUCUCUUCUAAAAGUCAUUUUAGAUUAUGUAUUAGACUAGAUAGC
rnacentral:lncRNA from 1 species